rnacentral:piRNA from 1 species
AUAGAAGACUGGGUGACAGCAUAUCU